rnacentral:rRNA from 1 species
UACGGAGGGUGCAAGCGUUGUCCGGAAUCACUGGGCGUAAAGGGCGCGUAGGCGGCUCGGUAAGUAGGGGGUGAAAUCCUGCGGCUUAACCGCAGGGCUGCCUUCUAAACUGUCGAGCUCGAGCACGGUAGAGGCAGAUGGAAUUCCCGGUGUAGCGGUGGAAUGCGUAGAGAUCGGGAAGAACAUCAGUGGCGAAGGCGGUCUGCUGGGCCGUUGCUGACGCUGAGG